rnacentral:rRNA from 1 species
AACGAACGCUGGCGGCAGGCUUAACACAUGCAAGUCGAGCGCCCCGCAAGGGGAGCGGCAGACGGGUGAGUAACGCGUGGGAACGUACCCUUUGCUACGGAAUAGCUCCGGGAAACUGGAAUUAAUACCGUAUGUGCCCUACGGGGGAAAGAUUUAUCGGCAAAGGAUCGGCCCGCGUUGGAUUAGCAAGUUGGUGGGGUAAUGGCCUACGAAGGCAACGAUCCAUAGCUGGUCUGGGAGGAUGAUCUGCCACAUUGGGACUGAGACACGGCCCAAACUCCUACGGGAGGCAGCAGUGGGGAAUAUUGGACAAUGGGCGCAAGCCUGAUCCAGCCAUGCCGCGUGAGUGAUGAAGGCCUUAGGGUUGUAAAGCUCUUUCACCGGAGAAGAUAAUGACGGUAUCCGGAGAAGAAGCCCCGGCUAACUUCGUGCCAGCAGCCGCCGUAAUAC